CACAGGAUAAAGGGGAGGUUGAAACCUCAUCUGAAUUAUAUUGAUUUUUCUCCUUAAUAUAUGUCCCUUAUUUUGACAUGAACAGAAUUUUAUUUGGACAAAUAUGCAUAACAAUAAUAAUUUAUCAAAUUGUACACAGGCUUCUCUAAGAAUCUUAAUAAUACCUAUACGGUGUAUUUGUGUUCCUUUUAUGGAAGGAAUUUUAAGAUAUAAUUAUAAACAUUAGAAAAGAAACACCAAUACACAAAUAUAUGAUAAUAUUUAUUUGUGAAUAAACAUUUCUUAAUUGUAUUCAGUAGAUUUAUAUUUUCGAACACUAAAUUGCAAUAUUAUGUGUAUUAGGUUCUAAAGAGAGGGAGAAAUGCAUUAGUUUUACAACGAUAUUUAUUAUUUUUUUUAUCUAUGAACAAUUUUUCUACUAGCAAUUUUGCUCAGAUUUCCAAUUGUAACACUUCUUUUCUGAGGAAAUCUGAUUUCCCCAGCUGUUUUCAUAAAAAAUAGUUAAAAGCUGAGAAAAGCGUAGGAAAACUGGAAAAAUAGGUACAAUAUUAAUCAAAUAUAAUUAAACAAUUUAUAUAAUACAUAUGUUAUAUUAUUUUGUCAUAAUAUGACGUAUACGUGUCGCUGAUAAAGCAUCGCUAAUAUCCGGACUCUGUUCAGAAUCGUUUUGCAAGAUAGUUAAUCAUAACUUACAGAUAUACAUCAAAUUUCCCAACCUAAUUAUAAGACUAUUAUCUAUUAUUUAUUUGCUUAUAACUUCGAAAUAUUCUGUCUCAAAUUAGUCUUGUAGUUAUAAUUAAUUAAUGAAGUUUUCGGUUGAUAUAUUUUUCCUCGUGAUAUCGCCAAGGGGAAUGAUUUACUUAUGGCAUCAUAUUAUCAUAUUGACGUAACGUAUAGAAACCAAACAGUGUGAGGAAUUAAAUGAAAAAGCUAAGAAAAUUAUACUAAUUUUAUUUUUAUUUCCACUGUGUCUAUCUCCACUCAUUUCUUUAAAAAUAAAAUGUAAGAUGUCGAGUAAAUAAUAUUAUUAUUUUUGCUUUUCGCUUCAGAUUACACGACGUCUUCUAGUUAAAAUUAUAAUAAAAAAAAAAAAAAUCAAAUUCAAUGGGUACUCCAAUAUUAUUGUCAGUAUCACGUGAACUGUCUAACCAUAUAGACAUCUGUAUUUAUAAUAACGUUAUGCAAUUUGUUUUAUUUGUGCAGAUAUAAUUUAGCAUUGAUAAUUUAACGAAUAAAUUAGAUAUCUAUACGUGGUUUUAUUAUUCAUAUACUAAACAAAUACGAAUCCACAUAAGUGUUUAUACAAUUCUCAAAAUAGUAAA